rnacentral:rRNA from 1 species
GGGCCCGCACAAGCGGUGGAGUAUGUGGUUUAAUUCGAUGCAACGCGAAGAACCUUACCAGGGUUUGACAUCCUGCGAAUCUCUUGGAAACAGGAGAGUGCCUUCGGGGAACGCAGUGACAGGUGGUGCAUGGCUGUCGUCAGCUCGUGUCGUGAGAUGUUGGGUUAAGUCCCGCAACGAGCGCAACCCACGUCGUUAGUUGCCAGCAUUUAGUUGGGCACUCUAGCGAGACCGCCGGUGAUAAACCGGAGGAAGGUGUGGAUGACGUCAAGUCAUCAUGCCCCUUACAUCCUGGGCUACACACGUACUACAAUGCUACGGACAAAGGGCAGCAAACUCGCGAGAGCUAGCAAAUCUCAUAAACCGUGGCUCAGUUCAGAUCGUAGGCUGCAACUCGCCUACGUGAAGGAGGAAUCGCUAGUAAUCG